rnacentral:rRNA from 1 species
CAUGCAGUCGAGCGGUAGAGAGAAGCUUGCUUCUCUUGAGAGCGGCGGACGGGUGAGUAAUGCCUAGGAAUCUGCCUGGUAGUGGGGGAUAACGUUCGGAAACGGACGCUAAUACCGCAUACGUCCUACGGGAGAAAGCAGGGGACCUUCGGGCCUUGCGCUAUCAGAUGAGCCUAGGUCGGAUUAGCUAGUUGGUGAGGUAAUGGCUCACCAAGGCUACGAUCCGUAACUGGUCUGAGAGGAUGAUCAGUCACACUGGAACUGAGACACGGUCCAGACUCCUACGGGAGGCAGCAGUGGGGAAUAUUGGACAAUGGGCGAAAGCCUGAUCCAGCCAUGCCGCGUGUGUGAAGAAGGUCUUCGGAUUGUAAAGCACUUUAAGUUGGGAGGAAGGGCAGUUACCUAAUACGUGAUUGUUUUGACGUUACCGACAGAAUAAGCACCGGCUAACUCUGUGCCAGCAGCCGCGGUAAUACAGAGGGUGCAAGCGUUAAUCGGAAUUACUGGGCGUAAAGCGCGCGUAGGUGGUUUGUUAAGUUGGAUGUGAAAUCCCCGGGCUCAACCUGGGAACUGCAUUCAAAACUGACUGACUAGAGUAUGGUAGAGGGUGGUGGAAUUUCCUGUGUAGCGGUGAAAUGCGUAGAUAUAGGAAGGAACACCAGUGGCGAAGGCGACCACCUGGACCAAUACUGACACUGAGGUGCGAAAGCGUGGGGAGCAAACAGGAUUAGAUACCCUGGUAGUCCACGCCGUAAACGAUGUCAACUAGCCGUUGGGAGCCUUGAGCUCUUAGUGGCGCAGCUAACGCAUUAAGUUGACCGCCUGGGGAGUACGGCCGCAAGGUUAAAACUCAAAUGAAUUGACGGGGGCCCGCACAAGCGGUGGANCAUGUGGUUUAAUUCGAAGCACCGCGAAGAACCUUACCAGGCCUUGACAUCCAAUGAAC